GCGCUCACUUCGGCAGCACAUAUACUCAAAUUGUAACGAUACAGAGAUUAGCAUGGCCCCUGCGCAAGGAUGACACACAAAUUCGAGAAGCAUUCCAUAUUUAA
rnacentral:snRNA from 1 species